rnacentral:rRNA from 1 species
UACGGAGGGUGCAAGCGUUGUCCGGAAUCACUGGGCGUAAAGGGCGCGUAGGCGGCUCAUGAAGGCUGUGGUGAAAGUCCGGGGCUCAACCUCGGAUCGGCCGUGGCGACUCGUGGGCUGGAGCACUGUAGAGGCGGGUGGAAUUCCGGGUGUAGCGGUGGAAUGCGCAGAUAUCGGGAGGAACACCAGUAGCGAAGGCGGCACUCUGGGCCGGUACUGACGCUGAGGAGCGAAAGCGUGGGGAGCGAACAGG